CCAACAAUUGCUCAAAAAGCUGAUUUCACUUUCUUCUCUUCUUCACCUGCCAAAAAAAAAAAAAAAAAAAAAAAAAUCAAACAAACCCACAACAAAAAUAUAAAAGAAAACCUAAAAUUUUCAUUUUUCUGAAAAUCCCAGACUUUUCCAGAACUUUUAAUUUCUCUGUGAAAACCCUUUUGGAUUUAGUUGCUAGUGAACCGGAAAACAAUGUGUGGAGGUGCUAUAAUCUCCGAUUUCAUCUCGGGGCCUCGGUCGCAGCGGCUCACUUCCGACUACCUGUGGCGCGAUCUCAACAAACCCAGAUGUGGGAAGCGAUUCUCGAAGCCUCUGAGGUCGGAAGUGAUCGAUGUCAAUGAAGAUUUCGAGGCCGAUUUCCAGAAUUUCAAGGAUGAUUCGGAUGUUGAAGAGGAUGACGAUGUAAUUGAUGUCAAGCCUUUCACUUUCUCUGCUGCUCGCAGUCCUACCCUUUCACGUGGCUCUACAAAUGUGAAGUCUGUGGAAUUCAGCGGGCAAGCUGAAAAAUCUGCAAAGAGAAAGAGGAAGAACCAGUACAGGGGAAUCCGUCAGCGGCCAUGGGGCAAGUGGGCUGCAGAGAUCCGAGACCCAAGGAAAGGGGUUCGUGUUUGGCUUGGAACAUUCAAUACUGCAGAAGAAGCUGCAAGAGCCUAUGAUGCUGAGGCACGGAGAAUCCGUGGCAAGAAAGCUAAGGUGAACUUUCCGGAUGAAACUCCUCGUGCUUCACCAAAGCAUUCAGUUAAGGCAAAUCCUCAGAAAUCAAUGUCCAAUGCAUGUUCAAACUCUGUGCAGUCAAGCUUGAACCAGAAUUUCAGUUUUGUGAAUAACCAGGAUCAGGACUACUACAAUACUAUGGGUUUUCUGGAGGAGAAGCCUCCAACUAAUCAAUAUGCAUCUGUAAACUCCAUCCCUCCUAAUGGAAAUAUUGGAGUCGCAUCCAAUACUGCGCCAGCAUAUUUUAGUUCUGACCAGGGAAGCAAUUCCUUUGAGUAUUCAGACUUUGGUUGGGGAGAGCAGAGCAAGACUCCUGAAAUUUCAUCUGUUCUUUCAGCUACUUUAGAAAGUGAUGAAUCUCUGUUUCUUGAGGAUGCGAACCCCAAAAAGAAGUUGAAGUCUGACUCGGAGAAUGCGAUGCCCACUGAAGAAAACAAUGCUAACACACUGUCAGAGGAGCUGUCAGCUUUUGAGUCUCAGAUGAAGUUCCUGCAGAUGCCAUAUCUUGAGGGUAGCAACUGGGAUGCUUCCAUGGAUGCUUUCCUCAAUGGAGAUGCAACACAGGAUGGUGGAAAUCCAGUGGAUCUUUGGAGUUUUGAUGACUUCCCCUCCAUGGUUGGAGCAGUAUUCUGAGCAAGAACCUAUUACCUCAAGUUGCUAGUUUAUGUAAAUAAGGCUACAUGUUAGAAUGGUUCCCUGAAGAUGGAGUACAAACAGUUGGCCUUUGUAUGGAGAAUGAUUUGAGGUAGCUUGUGUAUGGGGAGGAGUAUAUAGAUAUUAGGUUUGCUUACCUUUAAGACAUUGAAUUUGGAUUGCUGAAUUUGGUUUUUUUUGUAUUUGAUAACUAUCUAUGAUCUGUGAUGAAAUAUUGAAAACUGAUGAUUGUCAGAUUUGGUA